GAGCAGGGUCUUUCCUUUGCCUCAAACUUUUGAGAAUUCAAAACGAUUUUCAGUUCACUUGCUUCCAUAACCUGUAAGGAUGCAGCAAAUUCGGCUACCAAAGAUCAUGAAUAAACAACAAAAGAGUUGAUUUAGUGUUGCAAAGAAGAGAAGCAGAAAACUGCAAGAGCCAAGGGAAAGAAGACAUUUCAUGAUAGCUGGUGGAGCUUCUGAUUGAAUGUCACCACCGUCAAGGAAUGGUGGAAAGCACUCAAUAAGGUUAUCCUUACCAUUGUCGUUGGACGUCGUGCCUUCGAAACUGAUGCAGUCGGCAGUUAUAGCUGGGUGGAUGAGUAGUCAUUGUGUUAUUUUGUGGUGGGUGUCUCCAUACCCAUUAAGAUUAUUUGCUUUUGCUUUUCAUGACUGGUCUUUAUGAAUUCCUUAAAACUCUGUUUGAUCAGCAAAUUUGAUUUCAUGUUUUUCUUAAUUAAUGCCA